UGCAGGGGCAAUUACGAUAAUGGACCUAAAGUCAGUGUAUUUUAUUUUCCAUCUGACGAGAAUUUAAGACGAAAAUGGUUAUCGGCUGUUCACAGACAAGACUGGACACCGAGUAAGCACUCUGUUAUAUGUGAACUGCAUUUCAACAAGGACGACAUUUUAAGCAGUACCAGCAUGUAUGACCCGAAAACUGGUAUACUCUUGACAGCACCGUUGGAUCGUCGACGCUUGAGAAAAGAUGCUAUCCCAUCGAAGUUGCCUGGAUGCCCAUCUUACUUGUCGAGUCAUCAAACUGCAGUACGAGAGGACCCAGAAAUUCGUAGGGGGCGUUUAGAAAAUCGUGCUCUUCAAAUUGCUAUCCAAGAAAGUGUGGACACACAUGCGAAAAUGAUUGAUGCGAUAUCGGUCGAUAGUUUAGAACAAAUGAAAACAAAGUUGAGUGAAUGUGAAAAGCAC
rnacentral:lncRNA from 1 species